AUGCAAGUAGAACGCUGAAGGAGGAGCUUGCUCUCUCUGGAUGAGUUGCGAACGGGUGAGUAACGCGUAGGUAACCUGCCUGGUAGCGGGGGAUAACUAUUGGAAACGAUAGCUAAUACCGCAUAACAGUAGAUGUUGCAUGACAUUUGCUUAAAAGGUGCAAUUGCAUCACUACCAGAUGGACCUGCGUUGUAUUAGCUAGUUGGUGGGGUAACGGCUCACCAAGGCGACGAUACAUAGCCGACCUGAGAGGGUGAUCGGCCACACUGGGACUGAGACACGGCCCAAACUCCUACGGGAGGCAGCAGUAGGGAAUCUUCGGCAAUGGACGGAAGUCUGACCGAGCGACGCCGCGUGAGUGAAGAAGGUUUUCGGAUCGUAAAGCUCUGUUGUAAGAGAAGAACGAGUGUGAGAGUGGAAAGUUCACACUGUGACGGUAUCUUACCAGAAAGGGACGGCUAACUACGUGCCAGCAGCCGCGGUAAUACGUAGGUCCCGAGCGUUGUCCGGAUUUAUUGGGCGUAAAGCGAGCGCAGGCGGUUAGAUAAGUCUGAAGUUAAAGGCUGUGGCUUAACCAUAGUACGCUUUGGAAACUGUUUAACUUGAGUGCAAGAGGGGAGAGUGGAAUUCCAUGUGUAGCGGUGAAAUGCGUAGAUAUAUGGAGGAACACCGGUGGCGAAAGCGGCUCUCUGGCUUGUAACUGACGCUGAGGCUCGAAAGCGUGGGGAGCAAACAGGAUUAGAUACCCUGGUAGUCCACGCCGUAAACGAUGAGUGCUAGGUGUUAGACCCUUUCCGGGGUUUAGUGCCGUAGCUAACGCAUUAAGCACUCCGCCUGGGGAGUACGACCGCAAGGUUGAAACUCAAAGGAAUUGACGGGGGCCCGCACAAGCGG
rnacentral:rRNA from 1 species